rnacentral:rRNA from 1 species
GGGUUGUGAGGUUAAGCGACUAAGCGUACACGGUGGAUGCCCUGGCAGUCAGAGGCGAUGAAGGACGUGCUAAUCUGCGAUAAGCGUCGGUAAGGUGAUAUGAACCGUUAUAACCGGCGAUUUCCGAAUGGGGAAACCCAGUGUGUUUCGACACACUAUCAUUAACUGAAUCCAUAGGUUAAUGAGGCGAACCGGGGGAACUGAAACAUCUAAGUACCCCGAGGAAAAGAAAUCAACCGAGAUUCCCCCAGUAGCGGCGAGCGAACGGGGAGCAGCCCAGAGCCUGAAUCAGUGUGUGUGUUAGUGGAAGCGUCUGGAAAGGCGCGCGAUACAGGGUGACAGCCCCGUACACAAAAAUGCACAUAUUGUGAGCUCGAUGAGUAGGGCGGGACACGUGGUAUCCUGUCUGAAUAUGGGGGGACCAUCCUCCAAGGCUAAAUACUCCUGACUGACCGAUAGUGAACCAGUACCGUGAGGGAAAGGCGAAAAGAACCCCGGCGAGGGGAGUGAAAAAGAACCUGAAACCGUGUACGUACAAGCAGUGGGAGCCUCUUUUAUGGGGUGACUGCGUACCUUUUGUAUAAUGGGUCAGCGACUUAUAUUCUGUAGCAAGGUUAACCGAAUAGGGGAGCCGAAGGGAAACCGAGUCUUAACUGGGCGUUAAGUUGCAGGGUAUAGACCCGAAACCCGGUGAUCUAGCCAUGGGCAGGUUGAAGGUUGGGUAACACUAACUGGAGGACCGAACCGACUAAUGUUGAAAAAUUAGCGGAUGACUUGUGGCUGGGGGUGAAAGGCCAAUCAAACCGGGAGAUAGCUGGUUCUCCCCGAAAGCUAUUUAGGUAGCGCCUCGUGAAUUCAUCUCCGGGGGUAGAGCACUGUUUCGGCAAGGGGGUCAUCCCGACUUACCAACCCGAUGCAAACUGCGAAUACCGGAGAAUGUUAUCACGGGAGACACACGGCGGGUGCUAACGUCCGUCGUGAAGAGGGAAACAACCCAGACCGCCAGCUAAGGUCCCAAAGUCAUGGUUAAGUGGGAAACGAUGUGGGAAGGCCCAGACAGCCAGGAUGUUGGCUUAGAAGCAGCCAUCAUUUAAAGAAAGCGUAAUAGCUCACUGGUCGAGUCGGCCUGCGCGGAAGAUGUAACGGGGCUAAACCAUGCACCGAAGCUGCGGCAGCGACACUAUGUGUUGUUGGGUAGGGGAGCGUUCUGUAAGCCUGUGAAGGUGUACUGUGAGGUAUGCUGGAGGUAUCAGAAGUGCGAAUGCUGACAUAAGUAACGAUAAAGCGGGUGAAAAGCCCGCUCGCCGGAAGACCAAGGGUUCCUGUCCAACGUUAAUCGGGGCAGGGUGAGUCGACCCCUAAGGCGAGGCCGAAAGGCGUAGUCGAUGGGAAACAGGUUAAUAUUCCUGUACUUGGUGUUACUGCGAAGGGGGGACGGAGAAGGCUAUGUUGGCCGGGCGACGGUUGUCCCGGUUUAAGCGUGUAGGCUGGUUUUCCAGGCAAAUCCGGAAAAUCAAGGCUGAGGCGUGAUGACGAGGCACUACGGUGCUGAAGCAACAAAUGCCCUGCUUCCAGGAAAAGCCUCUAAGCAUCAGGUAACAUCAAAUCGUACCCCAAACCGACACAGGUGGUCAGGUAGAGAAUACCAAGGCGCUUGAGAGAACUCGGGUGAAGGAACUAGGCAAAAUGGUGCCGUAACUUCGGGAGAAGGCACGCUGAUAUGUAGGUGAAGCGACUUGCUCGUGGAGCUGAAAUCAGUCGAAGAUACCAGCUGGCUGCAACUGUUUAUUAAAAACACAGCACUGUGCAAACACGAAAGUGGACGUAUACGGUGUGACGCCUGCCCGGUGCCGGAAGGUUAAUUGAUGGGGU